UACGUAGGGUGCAAGCGUUAAUCGGAAUUACUGGGCGUAAAGCGUACGCAGGCGGCUUUGCAAGACCGGUGUGAAAUCCCCGGGCCUAACCUGGGAACUGCAUUUGUGACUGCAUGGCUAGAGUUUGUCAGAGGGGGGUGGAAUUCCACGUGUAGCAGUGAAAUGCGUAGAUAUGUGGAGGAACACCGAUGGCGAAGGCAGCCCCCUGGGAUGUGACUGACGCUCAUGUACGAAAGCGUGGGGAGCAAACAGG
rnacentral:rRNA from 1 species